rnacentral:rRNA from 1 species
AGCUCUCCGAGUGGUGGGGAUGUUUAUUGGGCCUAAAGCAUUCGUAGCCUGCUAGCCAAGUCCUCCGUUAAAUCCACCGAUUCAAUCGUUGGGCUGCGGGGGAUACUGUCUAGCUAGGGGGCGGAAGAGGCCGACGGUAUCCCCGGGGUAGGGGUGAAAUCCUAUAAUCCCGGGUGGACCACCAGUGGCGAAGGCUGUCGGCUAGAACGCGCUCGACGGUGAGGAAUGAAAGCUGGGGGAGCGAACCGGAUUAGAUACCCGAGUAGUCC